rnacentral:rRNA from 1 species
AUGAAGGGAGCUUGCUCCUGGAUUAGUGGCGAACGGGUGAGUAACACGUGAGUAACCUGCCCUUGACUCUGGGAUAAGCCUGGGAAACUGGGUCUAAUACCGGAUAUGACCUUCCAUCGCAUGGUGGUUGGUGGAAAGCUUUUGUGGUUUUGGAUGGACUCGCGGCCUAUCAGCUUGUUGGUGGGGUAAUGGCCUACCAAGGCGACGACGGGUAGCCGGCCUGAGAGGGUGACCGGCCACACUGGGACUGAGACACGGCCCAGACUCCUACGGGAGGCAGCAGUGGGGAAUAUUGCACAAUGGGCGCAAGCCUGAUGCAGCGACGCCGCGUGAGGGAUGACGGCCUUCGGGUUGUAAACCUCUUUCAGUAGGGAAGAAGCGAAAGUGACGGUACCUGCAGAAGAAGCGCCGGCUAACUACGUGCCAGCAGCCGCGGUAAUACGUAGGGCGCAAGCGUUAUCCGGAAUUAUUGGGCGUAAAGAGCUCGUAGGCGGUUUGUCGCGUCUGCCGUGAAAGUCCGGGGCUCAACUCCGGAUCUGCGGUGGGUACGGGCAGACUAGAGUGAUGUAGGGGAGACUGGAAUUCCUGGUGUAGCGGUGAAAUGCGCAGAUAUCAGGAGGAACACCGAUGGCGAAGGCAGGUCUCUGGGCAUUAACUGACGCUGAGGAGCGAAAGCAUGGGGAGCGAACAGGAUUAGAUACCCUGGUAGUCCAUGCCGUAAACGUUGGGCACUAGGUGUGGGGGACAUUCCACGUUUUCCGCGCCGUAGCUAACGCAUUAAGUGCCCCGCCUGGGGAGUACGGCCGCAAGGCUAAAACUCAAAGGAAUUGACGGGGGCCCGCACAAGCGGCGGAGCAUGCGGAUUAAUUCGAUGCAACGCGAAGAACCUUACCAAGGCUUGACAUGAACCGGUAACGCCUGGAAACAGGUGCCCCGCUUGCGGUCGGUUUACAGGUGGUGCAUGGUUGUCGUCAGCUCGUGUCGUGAGAUGUUG